GUAUGGUAUUGGCAUACCGUGGCAGUGACGGUUAACGGGGAAUUAGGGUUCGAUUCCGGAGAGGGAGCCUGAGAAACGGCUACCACAUCUAAGGAAGGCAGCAGGCGCGCAAAUUACCCAAUCCUAACAGAAAAAGGGAGGUAGUGACAAGAAAUAACAAUACAAGGCAGUAAAAUUGUUUUGUAAUUGGAAUGAUAGAAAUUUAAACACUUUCUAAAGUAUCAAUUGGAGGGCAAGUCUGGUGCCAGCAGCCGCGGUAAUUCCAGCUCCAAUAGCGUAUAUUAAAGUUGUUGCAGUUAAAAAGCUCGUAGUUGGAUUUUUGCUAAAAUUAACUGGUCUGCUUUUUGUAAAAGUAGUAUCUUGGUAUGUUUUUGGCAUUUAUGUCCUAAGGAAAUGUUUUUUGCUUAAUUGUAAUAAACAAUAAUUAGGACUUUUACUUUGAGAAAAUUAGGGUGUUUCAAGCAGGCUUACGCUUUGAAUACUGCAGCAUGGAAUAAUAAAAUAGGAUUUUGGUUCUACAUUAUUGGUUUUAAGAGCUAAAUUAAUGAUUAAUAGGGACAGUUGGGGGCAUUUGUAUUUAACU
rnacentral:rRNA from 1 species